rnacentral:rRNA from 1 species
AAUGAACGCUGGCGGCAUGCCUAACACAUGCAAGUCGAGCGGAAGAAGCGGGCUUGCUCCUGGAUGAAGCGGGGGACGGGCGAGUAAUGCACAGGAGGCUGCCCGGCAGAGCGGGAGAGGGUACGGAAAGGAGAGCGAAUACAGAAUACGACAUGAGGGAGAAAGGGGGGGAUCGAAGGACAAAAGGGUAGCAGACGAGUCCAGGUGGGAUUAGCUAGUUGGUGGGGUAAAGGCCGACCGAGGCGGGGAUACGUAACUGGUCUGAGAGGGUGAUCAGUCACACUGGAACUGAGACACGGUCCCAACUCCUACGGGAGGCAGCAGUGGGGAAUCUUGGGCAAUGGGCGAAAGCCUGACCCAGCCAUGCCGCGUGUGUGAAGAAGGUCUUCGGAUUGUAAAGCUCUUUUAUUUGGGAAGAACGGCUGUUAGUUUAUACGUUGCUGUUUUGACGGUACCUACAGAAUAAGCCCCGGCUAACUUCGUG